rnacentral:rRNA from 1 species
UACGUAGGGUGCAAGCGUUAAUCGGAAUUACUGGGCGUAAAGCGUGCGCAGGCGGUGAUGUAAGACAGAUGUGAAAUCCCCGGGCUCAACCUGGGAACUGCAUUUGUGACUGCAUCGCUGGAGUGCGGCAGAGGGGGAUGGAAUUCCGGGUGUAGCAGUGAAAUGCGUAGAUAUGCGGAGGAACACCGAUGGCGAAGGCAAUCCCCUGGGCCUGCACUGACGCUCAUGCACGAAAGCGUGGGGAGCAAACAGG